GGUCACGUGAGUAGGAAGGGAUGUAUUAUGUGAGGUUUGGUGGAGGAGUAGGGCAAGUGUGAAUUCUACAGCUCAAAGAGUCACUGCCUCUUCCACAAGCUUUCAGUGCUCAGUUUGCUUGCAGACAUGGCUGACUCAGAGGAAGUCGUGGAGGAGGUGCUGGCUGAAGUGCAGGAGGAUGGUAAGAACGACUGCAUGCUUUCUGCUCAGAUCGUUAAUUAAGUCUAAUGGCGCAGUUUAUUAAGC